CUUCCAGUAGCACCUUAGAGAGCAACUAAGUUUGUUAUUGGUAUGAGCUUUCGUGUGCAUGCACACUUAUUCAGAUACAUGAAAGCUCAUACCAAUAACUAACUUAGUUGGUCUCUAAGGUGCUACUGGAAG